UACGGGGGGGGUAAGCGUUGUUCGGAAUUACUGGGCGUAAAGGGCUCGUAGGCGGCCAACUAAGUCAGACGUGAAAUCCCUCGGCUUAACCGGGGAACUGCGUCUGAUACUGGAUGGCUAGAGGUUGGGAGAGGGAUGCGGAAUUCCAGGUGUAGCGGUGAAAUGCGCAGAUAUCAGGAAGAACACCGUGGCUAAGGCGGCUCUCUAGUACGGUACUGACGCUGAGACGCGAAAGCGUGGGAGCGAACAGG
rnacentral:rRNA from 1 species